rnacentral:tRNA from 1 species
AAACAAUAGCAUUUCAUGCAUUUUGAUUUCGACCCAAAAAGAGGAGACAAUCCAUUGUUUA